rnacentral:rRNA from 1 species
AACGAACGCUGGCGGCAUGCCUAACACAUGCAAGUCGAACGACACCUUCGGGUCUAGUGGCGCACGGGUGCGUAACGCGUGAUAACCUGCCCUUAGGUUCGGAAUAACUCCCCGAAAGAGGUGCUAAUACUGGAUAAUGUCCUCGGACCAAAGAUUUAUCGCCUUUGGAUGGGCCCGCGUUGGGUUAGCUAGUUGGUAGGGUAAAAGCCUACCAAGGCGACGAUCCAUAGCUGGUCUGAGAGGAUGAUCAGCCACACUGGGACUGAGACACGGCCCAGACUCCUACGGGAGGCAGCAGUGGGGAAUAUUGGACAAUGGGCGAAAGCCUGAUCCAGCAAUGCCGCGUGAGUGAUGAAGGCCUUAGGGUUGUAAAGCUCUUUUACCCGGGAUGAUAAUGACAGUACCGGGAGAAUAAGCUCCGGCUAACUCCGUG